CGGGAAGUAGCUCAGUUUGGUAGAGCACCUGGUUUGGGACCAGGGGGUCGCAGGUUCGAAUCCUGUCUUCCCGAC
rnacentral:tRNA from 1 species